GCAACGUCGUUAUUCAACAUGAGAGCCACUCGAGCAGCCUCAGCGUUUCUCCUAUUCUAUUCUGCAAUCGGAAAAACCAAGGUUGAAAAAGUUUGGUAGGAUGGACGACGACAAAGGAGAAAGAGAAAGAGGAAGAAUAA